AUGGAGGGAAAAAAACAAUGGGACAUCGUGAACCCUGGAUUCAAGCUUUGUGCUCCAGUUCUGAAGAGAGCAGCAGAUAGACCAAGGAAGAGUCGAAUCAGACCUCGCAGCGAAGGAGCUGGACUUGGAGCGAGGAAGCGUACGUGCACAAGGUGUGGUGGGUCUGGUCAUUUCAGUAAGUAUUGUGAUAACACAGUAGAUCCAGCGUUUGGAGAGAGUUUCUAUGAAGGCUUCGAUGAAAAUGUUGGUCAGCAGCCGGUUGCCUCAACAGAUGAUGAAAAUGAUGGUCAACAGCCGGUUGCAUCAGAUGAGGAUUUUGACGAGGUUCGAAAUGAUGAUGGUCAACAGCCGCAUGAUUUUGACGAUGAUCCAAAAUAUCCUCCAAAUAAUGAUUCAAGUGAGUCUCAAAAUGGUGAUCCAAGUGAGGCUCCAAAUGAUGAUCCAAGUGAGGCUCCAAAUGGUGACCAACCUUCUUUUGUUGUGAGUUCUGCUAGGUAUGUAAAUCUUUCAAAUACUACUGUACAUUUAUCACUUGACAUGAUCUCAUUACCCUUUAUGUUUUGCACAGCUCUAUGA
rnacentral:rRNA from 1 species